rnacentral:rRNA from 1 species
CACGUAGGGAGCAAGCGUUGUCCGGAUUUAUUGGGCGUAAAGAGCUCGUAGGCGGUUUGUCGCGUCUGCUGUGAAAACCGGAGGCUCAACCUCCGGCCUGCAGUGGGUACGGGCAAACUAGAGUGCGGUAGGGGAGAUUGGAAUUCCUGGUGUAGCGGUGAAAUGCGCAGAUAUCAGGAGGAACACCGGUGGCGAAGGCGGAUCUCUGGGCCAUUACUGACGCUGAGGAGCGAAAGCGUGGGGAGCGAACAGG